rnacentral:rRNA from 1 species
CAAUAGCGUAUAUUAAAGUUGUUGCAGUUAAAAAGCUCGUAGUUGGACUUCUGAUGUGGAGGGACGGUCCGCCUCACGGUGAGCACUGAUUCUUCACGUCUUCCUCUCGUAGUCUUUUGGCGCACUUAGUUGGGUGCCUUUAGAAUAUGGGACCUUUACUUUGAAAAAUUAGAGUGUUCAAAGCAGGCAAUCGCUUGAAUACAUUAGCAUGGAAUAAUAGAAUAGGACUUCGGUUCUAUUUUGUUGGUUUCUAGAUCUGAAGUAAUGAUUGAUAGGGAUAGUUGGGGGUGCUAGUAUUAAGGGGCCAGAGGUGAAAUUCUUGGAUUCUCUUAAGACUAACUUAUGCGAAAGCAUUCACCAAGGAUGUCUUCUUUAAUCAAGAACGAAAGUUGGGGGAUCGAAGACGAUCAGAUACCAU